UACGGAAGGCAGCAGUGGGGAAUAUUGCACAAUGGGCGCAAGCCUGAUGCAGCCAUGCCGCGUGUAUGAAGAAGGCCUUCGGGUUGUAAAGUACUUUCAGUCGUGAGGAAGGUGUUAAGGUUAAUAACCUUAGCAAUUGACGUUAGCGACAGAAGAAGCACCGGCUAACUCCGUGCCAGCAGCCGCGGUAAUACGGAGGGUGCGAGCGUUAAUCGGAAUUACUGGGCGUAAAGGGCACGCAGGCGGUUAAUUAAGUUGGAUGUGAAAUCCCCGGGCUUAACCUGGGAAUGGCAUUCAAGACUGGUUAGCUAGAGUCUUGUAGAGGGGGUUAGAAUUCCAUGUGUAGCGGUGAAAUGCGUAGAGAUGUGGAGGAAUACCGGUGGCGAAGGCGGCCCCUGGGACAAGGACUGACGCCCAUGUGCGAAAGCGUGGGGAGCAAA
rnacentral:rRNA from 1 species